rnacentral:misc_RNA from 1 species
AAUGUCGUAACAAGGUUUCCGUAGGUGAACCUGCGGAAGGAUCAUUAAUGAGAACAUGCCCGCCGGGGGUUAGAUCUCCAACCCUUUGUUUCAUCAACUCUGUUGCUUUGACGGGCCCGUCUCUCGGGACCACCGGCUCCGGCUGGUCCGGUGCCCGUCAGAGGACCACAAACUCUUGUCAAAGCCUACCGUCUGAGUACUAUACAAUUAUAAAAC